UCUCAGUCUGGUUCAGUAGGAAUCACAAUCAUGGGGAAGACAGAAGACAGUUGUACAGAAAACCAUCAUUGACACCCUCCAUAAGGAGGGAAAGCCUCAAAAGGUAAUUGCGAAGGAAGCUGGAUGUUCCCAAAAUGCUGUAUCAAAGCACAUUAAUAGAAAGUUAUGUGGAAGGGCAAAGUGUGGAAGAAAAAGACGCACAAGCAGCAGUGAUGACCGCAGCCUGGAGAGGAUUAUCAGGAAAAGGCCAUUCAAAAGUGUUGGGGACUUUCACAAGGAGUGGACUGAGGCUGGAGUCAGUGCAUCAAGAGCCACCACACACAGAUGGAUCCUGGACAUGGAACUUUGAUGUCGUAUUCCUCUUGUCA